rnacentral:rRNA from 1 species
CUACACGACCGUACCGCAAACCGACACUGGUGCGCGAGAUGAGUAUUCUAAGGCGCUUGAGAGAACUCAGGAGAAGGAACUCGGCAAAUUGACACCGUAACUUCGGAAGAAGGUGUGCCUUUAGUAGGUGAAGUCCCUCGCGGAUGGAGCCCAAUGAGGUUGCAAAAAAUCGGUGGCUGCGACUGUUUAUUAAAAACACAGCACUCUGCAAACACGAAAGUGGACGUAUAGGGUGUGACGCCUGCCCGGUGCUGGAAGAUUAAAUGAUGGGGUGCAAGCUCUUGAUUGAAGUCCCAGUAAACGGCGGCCGUAACAAUAACGGUCCUAAGGUAGCGAAAUUCCUUGUCGGGUAAGUUCCGACCUGCACGAAUGGCGUAACGAUGGCCACACUGUCUCCUCCUGAGACUCAGCGAAGUUGAAAUGUUUGUGAUGAUGCAAUCUCCCCGCGGAAAGACGGAAAGACCCCAUGAACCUUUACUGUAGCUUUGUAUUGGACUUUGAACAGAUCUGUGUAGGAUAGGUGGGAGGCUUUGAAGCAGGGUCGCUAGAUCUUGUGGAGCCAACGUUGAAAUACCACCCUGGUGUGUUUGAGGUUCUAACCUAGGCCCGUAAUCCGGGUUGGGGACAGUGCAUGGUAGGCAGUUUGACUGGGGCGGUCUCCUCCCAAAGUGUAACGGAGGAGUUCGAAGGUACGCUAGUUACGGUCGGACAUCGUGACGAUAGUGCAAUGGCAUAAGCGUGCUUAACUGCGAGACUGACAAGUCGAGCAGAUGCGAAAGCAGGACAUAGUGAUCCGGUGGUUCUGUAUGGAAGGGCCAUCGCUCAACGGAUAAAAGGUACUCUGGGGAUAACAGGCUGAUGCCGCCCAAGAGUUCAUAUCGACGGCGGUGUUUGGCACCUCGAUGUCGGCUCAUCUCAUCCUGGGGCUGUAGCCGGUCCCAAGGGUAUGGCUGUUCGCCAUUUAAAGAGGUACGUGAGCUGGGUUUAAAACGUCGUGAGACAGUUUGGUCCCUAUCUUCCGUGGGCGCUGCAGAUUUGAGGAAGCCUGCUCCUAGUACGAGAGGACCGGAGUGGACGCACCUCUGGUGUAUCGGUUGUCACGCCAGUGGCAUUGCCGAGUAGCUAUGUGCGGAAGAGAUAACCGCUGAAAGCAUCUAAGCGGGAAACUCGUUUCAAGAUGAGAUCUGCCGGGGCCUUGAGCCCCCUGAAGAGUCGUUCAAGACCAGGACGUUGAUAGGUCGGGUGUGGAAGCGCAGUAAUGCGUUAAGCUAACCGAUACUAAUUGCUCGUGCGGCUUGAU